GGCUGGGGGAGCUGCCUUUGGCACUGGUGCCCCUGGGGGUGGGGGCACGAGUGGGCCAGGGUGAUGGUGAGGUAGAGGAGGUGUCCCCGACCCGACGAGCUCGAGGGAGCGGCCCGGCUGGGAGGCGGGGGGCCGCGGGGCCCGGGGAGCGGGCGCCGCCGAGGGCCCUGGAAGCGGCCGGGCUGGGGGAGAGGGGACGCGUGUGUGGGGCACGGGGACCCCCGCCCAGCGCCCACUCGUAGGCCUGGGACGCGGGCUGCCGGCCGAGUGGCCUGAGGGCCUGGCUGCCCGGGGGGCGGGCCGGGGCCGCGGCCGGGGGCGCGGAGCGGAGCUCGGGGCGCCAGGCCGAGCCGAGGUGGGACGGACCGACGCGGAGAGGAAGGGAAGCCGCAUCCCGCGGGGCGCCCCUCCUGAAGCGAGCCGGGCAACGGCCGCGGGCGCCCCUGCCCUGAGCCCACCCCGCGCUCUGCCCUCCCUAACAAUGGGAAUGGGGCAGAAGGAGGCGCCCCACUGCGGGGAGGUGAGGGGUAGGUUUGGGACUGGGGUCCGCGGUGGGGGGAGGUGCGAUCUCGGGCUCUCGCCUCUCCGCUCCCUCUGGCUCUGGAGUUGGGGGCCCCUGUGGGGCUCUGAAGUCCGCCUGAGACUUGGGUCAAGAGUCAAACUGUCGCCCCCCGCUCCUCCCCCAAAAUCCGGUGAGCGGUAAGGAAAGUGAUGCCAAGUCUUCGAAGCCUCAGUGACAAACGCAUAGCAAGAACACAUCCACUCCAGAGAUACCUUCUCGAAACAAAAGAUUUUCCUACCUGCUUAUACUUGGUAACCGAGGGAAUUACUAAGACUUCUUGCUCAUUUCUGAGUAUUGUCUUUAUAUCCUGACACUAUGAAUGCUACUUGGAUGCCUCUUAAGUCUGUUCUCUGGGGAGGCAGUAAGGGGCCGUGGAGCUGGCCUCGGCCUCGGCAUCGGGAGAGGCUGGACUUCCUGUCUCUCUGUGCUGAAUGGCUGCGAUGGCGCCCGCUCUCACUGACGCAGCAGCUGAAGCACACCAUAUCCGGUUCAAACUGGCUCCCCCAUCCUCUACCUUGUCCCCUGGCAGUGCCGAAAAUAACGGCAACGCCAACAUCCUUAUUGCUGCCAACGGAACCAAAAGAAAAGCCAUUGCUGCAGAGGAUCCCAGCCUAGAUUUCCGAAAUAAUCCUACCAAGGAAGACUUGGGAAAGCUGCAACCACUGGUGGCAUCUUAUCUCUGCUCUGAUGUAACAUCUGUUCCCUCAAAGGAGUCUUUGAAGUUGCAAGGGGUCUUCAGCAAGCAGACAGUCCUUAAAUCUCAUCCUCUCUUAUCUCAGUCCUAUGAACUCCGAGCUGAGCUGUUGGGGAGACAGUCAGUUUUGGAGUUUUCCUUAGAAAAUCUUAGAACCAUGAAUACGAGUGGUCAGACAGCUCUGCCACAAGCACCUGUAAAUGGGUUGGCUAAGAAAUUGACUAAAAGUUCAACACAUUCUGAUCAUGACAAUUCCACUUCCCUCAAUGGGGGAAAACGGGCUCUCACUUCAUCUGCUCUUCAUGGGGGUGAAAUGGGAGGAUCUGAAUCUGGGGACUUGAAGGGGGGUAUGACCAAUUGCACUCUUCCACAUAGAAGCCUUGAUGUAGAACACACAAGUUUGUAUAGCAAUAAUAGCACUGCAAACAAAUCUUCUGUCAAUUCCAUGGAACAGCCGGCACUUCAAGGAAGCAGUAGGUUAUCACCUGGUACAGACUCCAGCUCUAACUUGGGGGGUGUCAAAUUGGAGGGUAAAAAGUCUCCCCUGUCUUCCAUUCUUUUCAGUGCUUUAGAUUCUGACACAAGGAUAACAGCUUUACUGCGGCGACAGGCUGACGUUGAGAGCCGUGCCCGCAGAUUACAAAAGCGCUUACAGGUUGUGCAAGCCAAGCAGGUUGAGAGGCAUAUACAACAUCAGCUGGGUGGAUUUUUGGAGAAGACUUUGAGCAAACUGCCAAACUUGGAAUCCUUGAGACCACGGAGCCAGUUGAUGCUGACUCGAAAGGCCGAAGCUGCCUUGAGAAAAGCUGCCAGUGAGACCACCACUUCAGAGGGACUUAGCAACUUUCUGAAAAGCAAUUCAAUUUCAGAAGAAUUGGAGAGAUUUACAGCUAGUGGCAUAGCCAACUUGAGGUGCAGUGAACAGGCAUUUGAUUCAGAUGUCACUGACAGUAGUUCAGGAGGGGAGUCUGAUAUUGAAGAGGAAGAACUGACCAGAGCUGAUCCCGAGCAGCGUCAUGUACCCCUGAGACGCAGGUCAGAAUGGAAAUGGGCUGCAGACCGGGCAGCUAUUGUCAGCCGCUGGAACUGGCUUCAGGCUCAUGUUUCUGACUUGGAAUAUCGAAUUCGUCAGCAAACAGACAUUUACAAACAGAUACGUGCUAAUAAGGGGUUGAUAGUUCUUGGGGAGGUACCUCCCCCAGAGCAUACAACAGACUUAUUUCUUCCGCUUAGUUCUGAGGUGAAGACAGAUCAUGGGACUGAUAAAUUGAUUGAGUCUGUUUCUCAGCCACUGGAAAACCAUGGUGCCCCUAUUAUUGGUCAUAUUUCAGAGUCACUGUCUACCAAAUCAUGUGGAGCACUCAGACCUGUCAAUGGAGUUAUUAAUACUCUUCAGCCUGUCUUGGCAGACCACAUUCCAGGUGACAGCUCUGAUGCUGAGGAACAAUUACAUAAGAAGCAACGACUGAAUCUCGUCUCUUCAUCAUCUGAUGGCACCUGUGUGGCAGCCCGGACACGUCCUGUACUGAGCUGUAAGAAGCGGAGGCUUGUUCGACCCAACAGCAUCGUUCCUCUUUCCAAGAAGGUUCACCGGAACAGCACAAUCCGCCCUGGCUGUGAUGUGAAUCCCUCCUGCGCACUGUGUGGUUCAGGCAGCAUCAACACCAUGCCUCCCGAAAUUCACUAUGAAGCCCCUCUGUUGGAACGUCUUUCCCAGUUGGACUCUUGUGUUCAUCCUGUUCUAGCAUUUCCAGAUGAUGUUCCCACAAGCCUGCAUUUCCAGAGCAUGCUGAAAUCUCAGUGGCAGAACAAGCCUUUUGACAAAAUCAAACCUCCCAAAAAGUUAUCGCUUAAGCACAGAGCACCCAUGCCGGGCAGUCUGCCAGAUCCAGCUCGUAAGGACAGGCACAAAUUGGUCAGCUCCUUCCUAACAACAGCCAAGCUGUCCCAUCACCAAACCCGGCCUGACAGGACCCACAGGCAGCACUUAGACGAUGUGGGGGCCGUGCCCAUGGUGGAGCGAGUGACAGCGCCAAAAGCAGAGCGCUUGCUCAACCCACCACCACCCGUGCAUGACCCAAACCACAGCAAAAUGAGAUUGCGAGACCAUUCAUCUGAGAGAAGUGAAGUGUUGAAGCAUCACACAGACAUGAGCAGUUCGAGCUACUUGGCAGCCACCCACCAUCCUCCACACAGUCCCUUGGUGCGACAGCUCUCCACCUCCUCAGAUUCCCCUGCACCCGCCAGCUCUAGCUCACAGGUUACAGCCAGCACAUCGCAGCAGCCAGUAAGGAGGAGAAGGGGAGAGAGCUCAUUCGAUAUUAACAACAUUGUCAUCCCAAUGUCUGUUGCUGCAACAACUCGCGUAGAGAAACUGCAAUACAAGGAAAUCCUUACGCCCAGCUGGCGGGAGGUUGAUCUUCAGUCUCUGAAGGGGAGUCCUGAUGAGGAGAAUGAGGAGAUUGAGGACCUAUCCGACGCAGCCUUCGCCGCCCUGCAUGCCAAAUGUGAGGAGAUGGAGAGGGCACGGUGGCUGUGGACCACGAGUGUGCCACCCCAGCGGCGGGGCAGCAGUUUUCAAAGUCUACACGAAUCUCCCUAACCUCCUGAAUUCACUAGGCACUUUGCUAUGGACUCACCUGGCAUUGUUCAGCCAUGCUUUUUUCUUGGGAUGGUAAAUGUUGUAUACCUACCCCUCCAGAGAAUCGUGGGAAGAAACGGGAGUUGCUGGAUCCUAAGGAAAAUCUGUUGGUCUUUGUUUGCCUCAACUCCUCCAGUGGGGAUGCUUUUUUCAUGCCCUCUACCCCCAUAAGUAAACAUUUCCCAGGCACUCAGAUUUGCAUUCCUUGGUGUGCAGGUCCUACAGGUCAUCAGACGGCCGGACAACCCCCCAGCUGGGCAGUGCCAACCCCUCCACCCCCCAGCCUGCCUCCCCUGAUGUCAGCAGUAGCCACUCUUUGUCAGAAUACUCCCAUGGUCAGUCCCCUAGGAGCCCCAUUAGCCCGGAACUGCACUCAGCACCCCUCACCCCUGUGGCUCGGGACACUCCGCGACACUUAGCCAGUGAGGAUACCCGUUGUUCCACACCAGAGCUGGGGCUGGAUGAACAGUCUGUCCAGCCCUGGGAGCGGCGGACCUUCCCCCUGGCGCACAGUCCCCAGGCGGAGUGUGAGGACCAGCUGGAUGCACAGGAGCGAGCAGCCCGCUGCACUCGACGCACCUCAGGCAGCAAGACUGGCCGGGAGACAGAGGCAGCGCCCACCUCGCCUCCCACUGUCCCCCUCAAGAGUCGGCAUCUGGUGGCAGCAGCCACAGCUCAGCGCCCGACUCACAGAUGAGCGGGAGACAGCCAUCUAAACAGACUCACUAACUAUUGGCAUUAAAGCUUCAGAAAUCUCUGCGUUUGAUAUUCAAACAUCAUAUGCCGGAAAUUUUCACAGUUUUUAGUGAACUUAAGGAAUUUAGAUCCUACUUUGGUAUUUUUUUUUCUUGUUUUAAUUUUUGUUUUGUUUUUGUUUCCAUGUUUUCUUGUCACACACCUGAGCACUUCCUCCCGUUGGCAAACAGAAGUUCAGGAUGAGACCCUGCUGGCCUGGUCCUGGCACAUCCUCUGCACUGUUGAAUCACUGGACUUACUGAUCUUAGAUGACCACCCCCUCCCUCACACCUGUGGGCAGGACAGAACAGCCUGGCGGGCAGAGGGCUACAGUUUAGCAUGGCCUUCUUGAGCUAGGGUGGAAUGGGGCAGGGUGCUCUGGACUCUUACCCCCUCCCCUCCCAUCUGUGGCUUGGCUCCGCUGUGGCCCUCCUGGCUGGGUCCCCUUGGUUUUUCGUGCUGGAACAUCCCCACCAGAGCCUCUCUGCCAUAACUGCCAGCUGCUCUCCCCGAGUGCUCAGCUGGCACAACACCUUUCCUUUCUCACCCAGAACUUAGAGACUGAUUUUUUGUUUCAUCUGCAUUUGGUCUUCUCUGUUUUGACUCUUUCACUGCAGUAACCUGGCUGUGGCUGCUCAGGUUCCCCUCCUCAUGCCCCUUGGUACCCUUCCCUGUCUGCUCUCCCAUGCCAUGUACACACCCACAACCCGUCCUUCCACUUGGAAUGUUUUUACCACCUAUCCUGAUCUUUGAAGGUAGGGUUAGGACUACUUAACCUCUAUUCCCACUCCCCUGCAAACUGGGGGUUGUGGGAAGUGAGCAGCCAUCUCCCUGUGUGAUUUUUUUUUUUUUUUCCCUCUGAUUCACUUUGCCAUGUUUCCUUCACAUCCAGAUCCCUGUCGGUGUUAGUUCCACUCUUGGUCUUUCACGCUCCCCUUGCCUGUGGAACAUUGUCUGGUCCUAGCUGUGGUUCCCAUUGUUCCCCCUUCACCCUUCUCUGUUAACCUUGUGCCUGUCUUCUGUAUGAUCACAUCACCAAAAAGGGGGAGGGGGGAGAAGACUCUUUUUUUUUGGCCAUUUUGUAAUCGUAUAAAAAUAGUAGACAACUGCUUAAUGGUUGGGGUUUUUUCACAAUUUUCAACAUUAGUGAUUUUUUUUUUUCUGUUUGCAAGUUAAAGGGUUUGUCAUUGUUUCUUUAAAAAAAAAUACAAUAAUGCACCAUAUCCCUAUGCAUAAAGUGCUUCUUCUAUUUAUAAGGUUGAAAAUUCUGAAUAACCCUUUUAGCAUUGAAAAAAAAACAAAAACAAAAAAUAAAAAAAAACAACCUUGUAUUUUGUAAAUAUUUUCUUUUCCUGCUUUGGAGCUGUGUAAUGGCAGCGAAACAUGUAGCUGUCUUUGUUCUAUAGAAAUGCUUUUCUUCAGAGAAGCUGAUCUUUGUUAAUGUCUUGAUUCUGUUCGCAAAGCACAGACUAGUGCUUAAAAAAAAAAAAGAAGGAAAAAUUGAAAAAAAUAAAAAAAAAAAAGUUACAGAA